rnacentral:pre_miRNA from 13 species
CUCCUCAGAUCAGAAGGUGAUUGUGGCUUUGGGUAGCUACUAAGCAGCCACAACACUGCCUGGUCAGAAAGAG